rnacentral:sRNA from 1 species
UUCAUCUCGAACGUGUGACGUGUAAAGUUUGUUAAAUUAAAACGCCAGCGUAACGCGAUAAGCUCUAAUGAAAAUAAAAUAAUCUCAACAGGAAGAUAAAAUUAAAAGAAAAAAAAAUCAAAACAGAAAAUCUAUUGCCGGAAAAAGCAAGGAAUUUAUACAGAAAAGUAUAGCAACAGAAAACAAAAAUAUUACACUUGCUCCCUUACAACGUCGAUAAAUUCAUAUUUACGCAGUGUCCCAGCUGCAUAAAAAACGUAGAAACGCAUAAAAAAAUAUAAAGAAGAAGAAAACACAAAUUUAAGAACAACACCAACAUCUCAUUAUAAGACUUGUAACUCUAGAAGGAUAUUGAAGGAUUCCAUUCGGUAAAUUGCUCGUUCAAAGACAACCGCAACAGCAGUAACCACAUAAAAAGGCAUACUCUCUCACAAGAUUCAAUUAAUAUUUUGGCACAAGAAAAAUAAGCCAAACCCCAACCACCGCCAUCAUCAAGCAGCACAAGCCAAAUUAAAACCGGCUGCAGCAAAUACCCACCCACCAACACAAUACGCACACUCACA